rnacentral:rRNA from 1 species
CGUAGGGUGCGAGCGUUAAUCGGAAUUACUGGGCGUAAAGCGUGCGCAGGCGGUUUGUUAAGAUAGGCGUGAAAUCCCCGGGCUCAACCUGGGAUCUGCGCUUAUGACUGGCAAGCUAGAGUACGGCAGAGGGGGUGGAAUUCCACGUGUAGCAGUGAAAUGCGUAGAGAUGUGGAGGAACACCAAUGGCGAAGGCAGCCCCCUGGGUCGAUACUGACGCUCAUGCACGAAAGCGUGGGUAGCAAACAGGAUUAGAUACCCUGGUAGUCCACGCCCUAAACGAUGUCAACUAGGUGUUGGGAGGGUAAAACCUUUUAGUACCGGAGCUAACGCGUGAAGUUGACCGCCUGGGGAGUACGGCCGCAAGGUUA